CCUACGGGAGGCAGCAGUGAGGAAUAUUGGUCAAUGGGCGCAAGCCUGAACCAGCCAAGUCGCGUGAGGGAAGACGGCCCUAUGGGUUGUAAACCUCUUUAGUAAGGGAAGAAUAAUGACUACGUGUAUUCAGAUGCUCGUACCUUAUGAAUAAGCAUCGGCUAACUCCGUGCCAGCAGCCGCGGUACUACGGAGGAUGCGAGCGUUCUCCGGAUUUAUUGGGGUUAAAGGGUGCGUAGGCGGUAUGUUAAGUUAGUGGUAAAACGUCGGGGCUUCACCUUGAUUGGCCAUUAAAACUGGAGUACUAGAGUGCAGACGAGGUAGGCGGAAUAAGUUAAGUAGCGGUGAAAUGCUUAGAUAUAAGUUAGAACCCCGAUAGCGAAGGCAGCUUACCAGACUGUUACUGACGCUGAAGCACGAGAGCGUGGGUAGCGAACAGGAUUAGAUACCCGGGUAGUC
rnacentral:rRNA from 1 species